UACGAAGGGGGCUAGCGUUGUUCGGAAUUACUGGGCGUAAAGCGCACGUAGGCGGACAUUUAAGUCAGGGGUGAAAUCCUGGAGCUCAACUCCAGAACUGCCUUUGAUACUGAGGAUCUUGAGUUCGGGAGAGGUGAGUGGAACUGCGAGUGUAGAGGUGAAAUUCGUAGAUAUCAAGCGGAACACCGGUGGCGAAGGCGGCCUUCUGGACAGUGACUGACGCUGAGACGCGAAAGCGUGGGGAGCAAACAGG
rnacentral:rRNA from 1 species